AUAUCAAUAAGCGGAGGAAAAGAAACCAACAGGGAUUGCCUUAGUAACUGCGAGUGAAGCGGCAAGAGCUCAAAUUUGAAAUCUGGCACCUUCGGUGUCCGAGUUGUAAUUUGUAGAAGCAACUUUGGAAUUGGUUUCCGCAUAUGUUCCUUGGAACAGGACAUCAUAGAGGGUGAGAAUCCCGUUCAUGGUGGAGAAUUCAAUUCUUUGUAAAGUGCUUUCGACGAGUCGAGUUGUUUGGGAAUGCAGCUCUAAGUGGGUGGUAAAUUCCAUCUAAAGCUAAAUAUUGGCGAGAGACCGAUAGCGAACAAGUACAGUGAUGGAAAGAUGAAAAGUACUCCGAAAGGAGAGUGAAAUAGGAC
rnacentral:rRNA from 1 species